UGGGCCUACGGGACGCAGCAGUGAGGAAUAUUGGUCAAUGGCCGAGAGGCUGAACCAGCCAAGUCGCGUGAGGGAUGACGGCCCUACGGGUUGUAAACCUCUUUUGUCGGGGAGCAAAGAGACCACGUGUGGUCAAAAGCGAGAGUACCCGAAGAAAAAGCAUCGGCUAACUCCGUGCCAGCAGCCGCGGUAAUACGGAGGAUGCGAGCGUUAUCCGGAUUUAUUGGGUUUAAAGGGUGCGUAGGCGGGACGGUAAGUCAGCGGUAAAAAUGCGGAGCUCAACUCCGUCGAGCCGUUGAAACUGU
rnacentral:rRNA from 1 species